GACGAACGCUGGCGGCGUGCUUAACACAUGCAAGUCGAACGAUGAAAGCGGGAGCUUGCUCCUGCUGGAUUAGUGGCGAACGGGUGAGUAACACGUGAGCAAUCUGCCCCGAACUCUGGGAUAAGCGUUGGAAACGACGUCUAAUACUGGAUACGACGCGCGAAGGCAUCUUCUGCGCGUGGAAAGAAUUUCGGUUCGGGAUGAGCUCGCGGCCUAUCAGCUAGUUGGUGAGGUAAUGGCUCACCAAGGCGACGACGGGUAGCCGGCCUGAGAGGGUGACCGGCCACACUGGGACUGAGACACGGCCCAGACUCCUACGGGAGGCAGCAGUGGGGAAUAUUGCACAAUGGGCGCAAGCCUGAUGCAGCAACGCCGCGUGAGGGACGACGGCCUUCGGGUUGUAAACCUCUUUUAGUAGGGAAGAAGCGAAAGUGACGGUACCUGCAGAAAAAGCACCGGCUAACUACGUGCCAGCAGCCGCAGUAA
rnacentral:rRNA from 1 species